rnacentral:rRNA from 1 species
AUGAACGCUGGCGGCGUGCCUAAUACCUGCAAGUCGAGCGAACAGACGAGGAGCUUGCUCCUCUGACGUUAGCGGCGGACGGGUGAGUAACACGUGGAUAACCUACCUAUAAGACUGGGAUAACUUCGGGAAACCGGAGCUAAUCCCGGAUAAUAUAUUGAACCGCAUGGUUCAUUAGUAAAAGACGUUUUUGCUUUCAUUUAUAGUUGGUUCCGCGCCGCAUUAGCUAGUUGGUAAGGUAACGGCUUACCAAGGCAACGAUGCGUAGCCGACCUGAGAGGGUGAUCGGCCACACUGGAACUGAGACACGGUCCAGACUCCUACGGAGGCAGCAGUAGGGAAUCUUCCGCAAUGGGCGAAAGCCUGACGGAGCAACGCCGCGUGAGUGAUGAAGGUCUUCGGAUCGUAAAACUCUGUUAUUAGGGAAGAACAAAUGUGUAAGUAACUAUGCACGUCUUGACGGUACCUAAUCAGAAAGCCACGGCUAACUACGUG